UACGUAGGGUGCGAGCGUUAAUCGGAAUUACUGGGCGUAAAGCGUGCGCAGGCGGUGAUGUAAGACAGGUGUGAAAUCCCCGGGCUCAACCUGGGAACUGCAUUUGUGACUGCAUCGCUGGAGUGCGGCAGAGGGGGAUGGAAUUCCGCGUGUAGCAGUGAAAUGCGUAGAUAUGCGGAGGAACACCGAUGGCGAAGGCAAUCCCCUGGGCCUGCACUGACGCUGAGACGCGAAAGCGUGGGGAGCGAACAGG
rnacentral:rRNA from 1 species